rnacentral:rRNA from 1 species
GUGACUGAUUACUUCGGUAUGAUUUUGCGGUGGAAAGUGGCGAACGGGUGAGUAACACGUGGGUGACCUGCCUCAAAGCGGGGGAUAACCAUUAGAAAUGGUGGCUAAUACCGCAUGGUCCUGUUUAUAUGGGAAUAUUUACAGGUAAAACUCAGGUGCUUUGAGAGGGGCCCGCGUUCGAUUAGCUAGUUGGUGGGGUAAUGGCCCACCAAGGCAAUGAUCGAUAGCUGGUCUGAGAGGACGAUCAGUCACACGGGAACUGAGACACGGUCCCGACUCCUACGGGGGGCAGCAGUGAGGAAUAUUGCACAAUGGGGGAAACCCUGAUGCAGCAACGCCGCGUGGAGGAUGAAGGCCCUUGGGUCGUAAACUCCUUUUUUGAGGGAAGAGAAAGGACGGUACCUCAAGAAUAAGUCACGGCUAACUACGUGCCAGCAGCCGCGGUAAUACGUAGGUGACAAGCGUUAUCCGGAUUUACUGGGCGUAAAGCGCACGCAGGCGGCUAUUCAAGUCUGAUGUGAAAUCUCUCGGCUUAACCGGGAGCGGUCGUUGGAAACUGAUUAGCUUGAGGCAAUGAGGGGGAUACGGAAUUCAAGGUGUAGUGGUGGAAUGCGUAGAUAUCUUGAGGAACACCAGUGGCGAAAGCGGUAUCCUGGCAUUGUCCUGACGCUCAUGUGCGAAAGCGUGGGUAGCGAACGGGAUUAGAUACCCCGGUAGUCCACGCUGUAAACGAUGAAUACUAGGUGUGGGGGUUGGUUCAACCCUGGUCCGUGCCGAAGCUAACGCGAUAAGUAUUCCGCCUGGGGAGUACGGCCGCAAGGCUAAAACUU